rnacentral:misc_RNA from 1 species
UUUCCGUAGGUGAACCUGCGGAAGGAUCAUUAUCGAAUCUUUAACCUUUUGGAUUUGGGUCAUAGACGAGAGAGAGAAAAACAUGGUGGAGGAAAAGCAGUUCUUCAAAAAGCUGUCGGAAUCCAUCAGCUCUCGCUCGGCUAGGGCUCUAUUCAAUUUAACCCCAUUGUGUGAACCGUUUUAUUAGUGUUGACACGUUCAAGCGGGCAAUGCGAAGCAGCAGCUUCUCACUGCACACUUGUUGCUUGUCAUCACUCAUUAUCAACUCCAAACAAAAUACAAUACAACCUUUAUGGUCUUAAAAAGCUUCUGUUAUUUUUUUAAAAUAACAUUAAAAAAGAAAAAAAAAACAACUUUUAACAACGGAUCUCUAGGCUCUC